UUUUAACCUGUGUGUCACCUUGUGUCUGCAAGAAGGCCAAACAUUCUGGAGUAUGUAAACUUUUGAUCAGGGCCAUUUGGGUGAUUUCUGUUUUCAUUAUGUUUAAAAAAGGAGCCAAAUGGGAGCAGAGCCCGACUCUUAAGAUAACCAGACAUGCUCUGUAUGAGCUCCCAUUAUCUGUGCUGAUUUCCUGGAGAUAUCUUUGGAUACCGGGCAGGGAACCC